CACUCACUUUCCCUCUGCAGAUGCGGGGCCGAGGCAGAAGCCGGUGAGCUCUCCCCAUGGUCAACACUGAGCUGGUGCCAUGGGGCACCUGGUGGCUCAUCGCUGUCCCUUGCACCCCUCGGCGAGUUCCAGCCCUGCUGCUGUAAUUCCCAAAAUGCUGGAGCUGCCCCUCUCCAAUAUUAAACUGUGUGUGAGGA